GCUGGCGGCGUGCUUACACAUGCAAGUCGAACGAGAACUCCCGAAGCUUGCUUUGGGAAAGUAAAGUGGCGAACGGGUGAGUAACGCGUGGGUAAUCUAUCCUUGAAUUCGGGAUAACUGACCGAAAGGUGAGCUAAUACCGGGUAACAUCGCAUUUGCCUUGGCGGAUGCGAUCAAAGGCAGCCUCUACAUGUAAGCUGUUGUUCGGGGAGGAGCCCGCGUACCAUUAGCUUGUUGGUGGGGUAAGAGCUUACCAAGGCGACGAUGGUUAGCUGGUCUGAGAGGAUGAUCAGCCACACUGGAACUGACACACGGUCCAGACUCCUACGGGAGGCAGCAGUGAGGAAUUUUGCGCAAUGGGGGCAACCCUGACGCAGCAACGCCGCGUGAGUGAAGAAGGCCUUCGGGUCGUAAAGCUCUGUCGAGUGGGAAGAACCUGUGAUAUGUUAAUGACAUGUCGCACUGACGGUACCAUUAGAGGAAGCACCGGCUAACUCCGUGCCAGCAGCCGCGGUAAUACGGAGGGUGCGAGCGUUAUUCGGAAUUAUUGGGCGUAAAGGGCGAGUAGGCGGCCUUGUAAGUCAGAUGUGAAAGCCCGGGGCUUAACCCCGGAAGUGCAUUUGAAACUACGGGGCUUGAGUAUGGGAGAGGGAAGUGGAAUUCCUGGUGUAGCGGUGAAAUGCGUAGAUAUCAGGAGGAACACCGGUGGCGAAGGCGACUUCCUGGACCAAUACUGACGCUGAGGCGCGAAGGCGUGGGGAGCAAACAGGAUUAGAUACCCUGGUAGUCCACGCAGUAAACGGUGAUCACUACGUGUAGCGGGUAUUGACCCCUGCUGUGCCGCAGCUAACGCAUAAAGUGAUCCGCCUGGGGAGUACGGCCGCAAGGUUAAAACUCAAAGGAAUUGA
rnacentral:rRNA from 1 species